rnacentral:rRNA from 1 species
CAGCCGCCGCGGUAAUGCAGAGGAUGCAAGCGUUAUCCGGAAUUAUUGGGCGUAAAGGGCUCGCAGGCGGUUUCUUAAGUCUGAUGUGAAAGCCCCCGGCUCAACCGGGGAGGGUCAUUGGAAACUGGGAAACUUGAGUGCAGAAGAGGAGAGUGGAAUUCCACGUGUAGCGGUGAAAUGCGUAGAGAUGUGGAGGAACACCAGUGGCGAAGGCGACUCUCUGGUCUGUAACUGACGCUGAGGAGCGAAAGCGUGGGGAGCGAACAGGAUUAGAUACCCCCGUAGUCCCUGUCUCUUAUAC